rnacentral:antisense_RNA from 4 species
CUUGAUGGUAGCUGUGCGCAGGGCACCUUCGGGUGCGCCGGCUUGCUCGAAACCCCGGUCUACUAACCUGCGUACAGUUGCCUCCACU